rnacentral:rRNA from 1 species
GGGUUCUACCGUUGGUCAGGCUAUAGUCUGUACUGGCGUGUGGAAUUUCUACCUUCUGGGGAACUAUCAUGUUAUUAAUUUAGCGUGGUAGGAAACCAGAACCUUUACCUUGAAAAAAUUAGAGUGUUCAAAGCAGGCUUAUGCCCGAAUGUGUUAGCAUGGAAUAAUAGAAUAGGACGA